ACAGAACUACAGACAGGAAAUCAUCGCAAAAAAAAACUACAGAUAAUAAAUUAAUCUGCAAAAGAUACUUGGCAUACUACGUUUAAUGCUGAUCAAACUACAAAUAAGAAAUUAAUCUGCACACAAAGUACACAAUCAGUUUAAGACAAACAUAUGGUUACAAGCACUCAGUAAACCUCUAUGUACAUUUUUUUUUUGAACGGUCACCGAGGGGGAGAGCUUCCCCACCUGAAUAUAUUACCACUCAAAAGGAGGAGUCGAGAAUUACAAUAGUAGUUUGGUUACAACAUGAUCAUUAGGGUACAGCUGAAGAGAGGAAGUGAAGCCAUUGUCUAGCGGAGAUAUUGUCUUCUUUCUUUUUGAACCGAAAAACCCAUAGAGAGAAGUCAACAACAAUGUUCCGUAUGGUGGUUCUGUGUGUAUGAUCGUCAUUCCUGAAGACGAGCGCGUUUCUGGAAUCCCAUAGCUUCCAAGAGAUAGUCAGAACCACCGAAGGCCAGAUAUUGGGGUUGAGGCCAUGAAGCGUUGGGUGUUGGAGCAGAGCAGCAAGGGAGGUCGGGGCCGGCAGGCCCAGGGAGGACCAGACCUGUGUAGCGUAAGAACAGUUGGAGAUGAGGUGGAGUGCAUCUUCAUGAGGGUCUUGACAACGCGGACAUGCGGCAGAUUGGGCAAUGUGUUUGUGGAACAUGUUUGCCUUCGUGUUGAGCCGGUCACGGAGGAGGAGCCAUGCGAAGAUCUUGACUUUGAUCGGGACUUUGGAAGACCAGACAAAGUCGUGGUGAGGGUCUGUAUCAUCUUCAGCAGUAAUGGAGGAGUAGGCGUUCUUGGCAGAGAACGGUAGUCCGUGGGUGAGGGAUAUUUCGUCAGAUUGGUCCGUUUGCUGGAAAUCCUACAACAACAACAGCACGCAAUCCAACUCGCGAGCAGCAGCAUUAGAUAGACGGUUCCGUAGGUUCGCCAACAAGCUGGUUUGCCAAACAGUAGCCACUAACACCUUGUCAUCAAUGGAGUGUGAGAAGAGGUUUGGGAAGACGUUUUGGAGGGGAGACUGCAGUAACCAUUUAUCAAGCCAAAAGAAAGUGGAUAGGCCAUUGUAUGUGAGCACAAAUGAGUGCUAAAUUAGCAGUGGCAAGUUGUUGUUAAUGAUCUUCCAGAGGAAGGAGGGUUUUGAGGUUUUUGCUGCAAUGCCAAGAGGGUAUUGGUGGUGGUACCAUUGGGUCCAGGGGAUGUUUGGGUGUUGUAGAAUUUUGGAGGAGAAUUUCAUAAGCAAGCAGCGGUUUUGAACUUCCAGAUUUUUAAUGCCUAGACCACCAGUAUCUUUAGGUUUGCAAACAUUUUUCCACGCGACCAAGCAGCUCGCCCCAGUGCAGGUUGGCUCGUUAGACCAGAAGAACGCCCUCCGGAUGGCGUCUAGUUUGGCUCUGAUCGAUUUUGGUAGGCGAAAGACGGACAUAAAAUAAAUUGUUAAGGAGUCAAGAACCGCAGUUAGCAGGGUGAGACGUGCCCCCCGAGAGAGCAGGCGGGCCACCCAACCGAAGAGGAAUUUUCGAAAGCUGUCUAUGAUUGGGUCGAAAGCUGUGAGAGGCAGUUUGGUGGGGGAGAGUGGUAGACCUAGAUACACUAGCGGGAAGGAGGAUAAGGAACAACCAAUCGUUGUGGCAAUGUUGUUUUGCGUGGAAGAGUCGGUGGCUAUGGUGAGAAGAGCCGUUUUUUGGAAGUUGAUGACUAGCCCCGUUGCAAGGGCGAAGUCAUGAAGGGUGUUUUUGAGGAUGAUGGUGGCGGCGUCGCUAGCCACAGCAAUUAUCAGUGUAUCGUCAGCGUAUUGAAGUGUCACAGGUGGUUCAUUAGGCCGUAACGGGUGACAAAGAACGUUGGUUUGGAACGCUUUUGCAAUUAGACGUUGAAGGACGUCGGCAACGAUGAUGAAUAAGUAUGGCGAGAAUGGAUCACCUUGGCGGAGGCCACAUCUACAUUGAAUCCAGGAUCCUGGAACGCCAUUUAAAAGGAUAGUUGUUUUCCCAGUGAGAAGGAUAUUUUGUACCCAAGAACAGAAGUCAGAGGGAAAACCGCGGGCUUGUAAGAUUUGUAUGAGGGAGGACCAGCAUAUGGAGUCAAAAGCUUUCCUGAAAUCGAGCUUGAAGAUCAUGGUCGGGGCUUUACGGGAGUGGCAUGCACUGAGGAUAUCGGCAGCGUAUAUAAAGUUUUCAGCAAUGCUACGUCCAUGAAGGAAGCCAGUCUGGUCAUAAUGUAUGAGCAGUGGGAUGAGAGGUUUAACUCUACUGGUGAGGACUUUGGCAACUGCUUUUGGCGUGCAGUUUUGAAGAGAUAUGGGUCUAAACGCGUCUGGGGUUGUUGGUGCCUGAGAUUUUGGAAGAAGGACCAUGUAGGCCCGGUUGAAUCGUUCUAAAGAAGCGGUUUGAUCAUGGAAGGCGGCGAAGAAGGUUAGGAUGGGUUUUUUGAUAUCAUUCCAAUAUUUUCUGAAGAAGAUGGGUCCAAAGCCAUCUGGUCCAGGGCUAGCAUUGGUGUUCAUAGAGAGGAAGGCUUGGUAUAUUUCGUCAUAAGAGAAAGGUUGUGCAAGAUCACUGAGCUGGGGGAGGGGUGAGGGGUACAGUUGUUGCAAGCUGAAGUUCCAUGUUGCAUUUUUUGAGGUCCCGAUGAGCUGUUGGAAGAAGUCCUUUAAGAUGUCAGCUUUUUGUUCGUGCAGAAAAACUUCGGAAGUGUUGUGUAAAAGCAUGGGAAUCUUGUUUGAUCGAGAGCGUUGCGUAGCCGAGGCAUGGAAGAAUCGAGUGUUUUCGUCACUGUCAAUGGCGACCCUGAUCUUUCCCCUCUGUUUCCAGAAGGCGAUUUUUUGUUUGAUGGUAUGUUGUAGCAAGUUGGAGAGCGUAAGCCUCAGUUUUUGUUCGAUCGGGAAGAGAGGAGCGAAUUCCUCGUUUAGGUCAAGGGCCUGGAGAGCGAGUUUGCAAUUUGUUUCCCGUUGAUAGAUGGGCCGCAGCGACUUGGCCCAAGUCUUCAGGGCCGAUCUUGUACCUUUAAUUUUUUGAGCGAGCGAAGCCGCCGGAUCAAUGAAACGCCCACCGUGGCGCUGUGGGCCGGGCUGCCAGCAGCCGCGCACAAUGUUAGAACAGGCUGGGAAGGAGGUCCAAAAUUGUUCAAAUCGAAAAAGGCGGGAAGAUGGGACGGAUGUGGAUACGGUAACGAGGAGUCGAACAUGAUCAGAGACAAAUCGAGUGAGGGAGGUGAGGUGUGAGUUAGGGAAAAGAGCAUCCCAAGAUAGAUUGAUCAGUACCCUAUCUAGGCGAAUCAGCGUGGGGGGUAGUCUUUUAUUUGACCAGGUAAAUUCUCUAUCAAGGAGCGGGAGCUCUAAGAGAGCAAGUUGGUCGAUGGUGUCGUUAAAGGCAUCAGCCUCCGAUCGUCUAAAGUUGUCGGUGUUGCGUUCAUUGGGGAAUCGAGUCAGGUUGAAAUCACCUAUUAGGAGCCAAGGAGAUUGAGGUGGUGGUUCGAUCUGUUUCAGUUCGUCAAGGAAGACUAGUUUUAGCUCUCGUUGCGAGGGGGCGUAGACAUUAGUGAUGAAGAUAUUAUGUGGCGAUGCAAGACAUGAUAGCGUUAAUGUGGAAGUGAAACGCAUGUGUUGGCAGUUGAGAAGCGAGAAGCAACGUGAGUUAGAAGCCGAGAGAAUGCCGCCCGCCGUUCCGAUUGCGUCGAGGUGGUUAUUAGAGUCUAGGAAGCGCGGCAAGAUCGAUCGUAGUUUGUUUGUGUCUGGUUUUUGUAAUUUGGUUUCUUGAAGAAGGGCAAUGGAUGGGGGUAGGAGAUUGAUUUCAGAGAACACAUUGGAGCACUUAUCAUUAUCUCCUAGACCGUGAACGUUCCAGGACACGAUAGAGUAGGUAGCGUUUUUCAUAAUGGAAACUUAAGUUGACACCUUACAUAGGGGUAUUGACCCAACAAGCAACCAUUUCGGGUCAAGGUACAGUACGACAAACUGAUAGAAGCAGGCAUGAGCACCAUUACAAGUAGAUUAAACCUAACACAGCGACUACAGGUCGGAGCGAGGCCCCGGAUACAUGGCCAGACAUGGCCGCCACACCCGUGGCCGCGGAGAAGAGAGCACAUCAUGGCGAUCCCAGGCCACCAAAACCGGAAGCGAGGUCCGCCGGCAUCUCUGGCGUGGCGCCGCAGGCAGCAGCGACGGCGGCCGGGUCCUCAGGCGAGGCAGGACCGUGCGCAAAGCCGUCGAUGAGCCCAGAGUCGUCACAGAGCCGAGCGUGGAUCAGGGCGUCGGAGAGGUCCUUGGAAGUAGUAGAUAGGUCGAGCUUCUUUGCCUUGGAGCGCAUGGCCUUGGAGGUCAUGGAGUAGAUAGGCGGCUCUAUUUCAGCCAGCCUAGCGCUGCGUCUAGCCUUGAUGCCGGAGUCAGCAGCCAUCUUGGCGCGCCUGCUGAUGCGCCUGGCAAGGCACUCGUGCGUAGGCUCUGGGGGCAGAUCCAGUGGCUGGGCGGAGAGAUCCACAGGAAGGGGGAGCGGCUGAAGGGCAGGUGGGGAUGGUGGAGGAGGCGGCGUAGGUGGCAGAGGAAGUGGAGAUGGUGGGGCUGGCAGUGCAAGCAGGGGACGUGCAUGGCGCGAGCGAGCGUGCAGCUUCUGUGGAGAGGGGGAGCGAGCGGGAGGGGUCCAUGGGGCAUGAACAAGCAUGGCAACAGGCAUGCCGUCAGCCAUGACUGCGAGGAUUGGGAUGUCGUCGAGCGGCCUGUUAGCAGUAGGAGAUGGGGGAGGGCCCAAGGGCGACUCCGGGGUGCAUGCAAAUGGUGACAUGGCCAUGGCAGUGUUCCUGAUUUGAGUAACAGUGGAGGGAGAGAGGCGAGGGUUUGAUGAGAGGGAGGAUAGGGAGCCGUCGUCCCCGUCCUCAGAGCUGAAGGGCGAUGCCCCGGAGCCGUGACGGAAGAGCGCGCGGCUCUCCAACUUGACAACGACGAUGUCGUUGUCAGGGAGACGCACCGUGAGGCAUGGAGGGAGGACAAAAUCGCAGGCAACCAUGACGAGCGCGUGAACGCUAGAGUGGUCACCCUGGAAGCAGUGUUGGUCGGCAGAGACAAAGUCACCAAGGUGGGAGAAGAAGUAGUCUGCCCCCUCCGGGUGCCAGAGCUCAUCGGGAUAAUCGAAAGCCUCGAUCUCAGCCAUGUGAACGAAGAUGGCCGUAGAUCUAUUGUCAGCGUGUUCAGGCCUUUCGAAGAACAGGGUAUUGCCCUAGUGGUGGAUUGGCCCAUGGCCAGUGGCCGCGAGGCGCUCGUCUACGUUGGCAAAGGAGAGACGGCCGGCGCCACGUGCGGAGGAAGUGAGGCCGAACGUGGGAUUGUUGCGGUGUUGAGCGAGGGCCUGGCGGAUGAACCUAAAUGGGUUAGGCAUAGGAGUGGCAAGGUGUACGUAGGCAAGGUUGUCCACCUGGCGGACUAGGCAGCUUGGAAGGACAAGGAGAGGGAUGUGUGGUGCCGGUGGAGGGAAGCAUGAUGUUGCGGUGGGAAUGGUGACUGGGGAGGGGGUGGGGGUGGAGCGAAGGACGGCGUCGGGGGGAGGAUGAGGAGGUGCGCGGUCCGAAGAUGAGCGGGAGACGGAAUGGCGGCAGAUCGUUGGUGAGGACGCAGUGGGAGCCGAACCAGAUUGGUGCGCCAUCGGAGCGCGUGGAGCCGGCCGACGAGCCGGAGGCGGUGUGGGUGCCCGUCGUGUGUGCCAUAGAGCUGCAUGGCGGUCGCACAAAAGCAGGGUUAAUACGCGGUGAAGGGGGCAUAGGAGGGAAGAACGGGAGGAAGCGGAUGGCCUUGCACCUGUAGCUCCGGUGGCCGGAGCACCAGCAGCGAGAGCACCGGACGGGGUCGCGACAGUCUGCGAUGGUGUGGUCGCUAGCAAGGCACCGAAAACACCUAGUCUUCUUCUUGCGGCUGUAGUGGUGGUGGAAGUGUUUGAGGCUAACCAUCUGGGAAGGAGGCGAUUUAUAGGCUGGAGAGGGCGAUGGAUGGGGGAGAGGGGAUGCAGGGGCCCGAGGCAGGGAGCAGAGCAAAACCUCCCGGUAGUUGCGCGGGUCUUGCAGCAGCGUGGAGAUCGAAGAGCUUAGCGGACUGGCAGCGGUGGCAGGGGCGUGGCACUGGGUAAUGGCGAUCUCGGGAUGGAGCUGAGGGGACUGGGCGGAGAGUAGGCUGACGGAGGUAGGGGAGGCAGGUGGUGGAGUAGACGUGAUGAUGGUCGCAUGCGUGCGCAUGCAUGCGUUGGUUUUGUCGCGCGGUGAGGAUGAGCGGGGGUGCGAUUGUGGGACCCGUGGAUUAGUGGCUGUUAGGUAAGAUAUGGGGUGCGCGUUGGAACCUGGGGGAUCGAGCAGGCCGAGCGGCCGACCGGGGGGCGGUUGUGGCGACGCAGGUGGGCCGGAUGCGUGAGUGUCAUGUGAUGGGUGGCGUGAGGUCGGGUGGUCUAAGGUUGGAUUGUUUAACGAACUAGGCUGGUCGAGGGGGUGUACGGUGCGGUCGUCUACACCGUCUUGUUUUCUCUCUGGAGAAAGGAUGCAGGGAUACUUGGCGGGGGAGGCCGAACCAGAUGAGCGGCACACGUGUCCCAGGCCAUCGAUUGCGUUCCGGUCAACCGAGGCAGCAGCAGUGGAAUCCACGCAUGGAACGGUGUGUUGUAUCUUGGUAUGUAGGUGAGAAGAUCUUGCGGUAGUUUUUUAGUUGACGGGUGCGGUCCAAGCAAGGAUGUGCGGUGAGUGGGCAGGAUGGGUGCGAAUGGAUCGAUUGAGUCCGGUUCAAACACUACAGGCAAUGGUACCGAUCGCACUAUUUGAGAUGCUUGGUCAAACGAGUCAAAUAGUUGAAGUUCAAAAUUUGAAAAAAGGAUGGGCGCGCAACGGAGGACCUCAGAUCUGACCUUGACCGAGUACACAUGCACUAAAAGCAAGUUCGGAGCAAGCGUGAUCGCAUGGAAAACCCGUUGGAACGAAAACUGGUGGUCUAGAGCAUUAUUAAUCAGAGUUUCAUUAGCGCAAACUGACUUAGAAGAGAACACAAUCCAGAUAGGAGUAUUUGGUUGGUGUGUUAGGCAUGUGGUAGGAGUAGUGACAAGGCAGUGGUACUUAGAAAAAAUCAGCUUAUUGAACGAAAUGCCAGGCCGGAACGGUCGUACCUUUGCAUGCGAUCGCAGAGUGGAGCUAGUUGCGGGAGUUGCAGUAGGUCCAGCAGGCAGCCGACCGUUGGCGAGAGAAUGGCCCACCUACAUGGAGGCCAUGCACGGAGAGGAGCGUGCUGAGUCGUCGACGACUACGCGAGGAGGCGCCAGCGCAUCAUGUAGCGGCGGGGAUGGCCGCGCCGCCAGCAUGGCCGGCGAGGCAUGAGGCGCCACGGUGAUGGUGGCGAACAUGCGAGGCGCCACAAUCGGGGAGCAGGCCGCCAUGAGCGUGGCAACGUGGUGGGAGGCGACCGGUACAUUGAACGCAGCGUUGGAGAGGCGUUGAACUUCGAUAGAACACGCAGGUCCACCAAAGCGGAAGGAGAGAAGCGAGGCGACGAGAGUUUCAUCGACCAUAAAAUCCGCUUUAUGGACGAAGAAGAUGAUUGAGGUGGGCAAGGCCGAGGCAAUUGGCGCUGCAAAAACUUUGGACGAGCAGAGAUCAUGAAUGUUGCGCGCGAAGUCGACGCCGGGAGAGGGGAAGAACCCGAGCUGAGAGCGCAGGAAUGCGUCGGCAUGGCCGAAGCGGUCGCCGAUGUCAAGGGGCUUUGUUUGGUGGAUGGGUGGACGGUGUGUGAAGGUGGGUGGCGGUGGAAAGGGGGGAAACUGGAUGGAGUGGCUUGUGGCAACGAGGAUGGGCUCGGCAAUGAGAGCUUGAACGAUGCGCAUAUCGGAUACAGAGAUGCGAAAGAGUUGAUCAUGGAGGCGAGUCACCUGGAAAGCGGGGGCGUUGCCGCCCAGGCAGGCUUGCAUGAGGACGGCCACCAGUUCUUCGUCAAGGACGAGCGAAGAAUGGUGGACAUGCACGGAGAGGAAGAAAUGGUGGACAUGCACGGAGAGGAAGCAGGGAUGUUCAUGGCGACGCGGGUUGAUAUGCUUGGAAAGGCACCGCCAAACUUGUGCCUGGAAGUCGUCACCCAUAGCGUCGCCGACGCCGAGCGCGGCCCGCAAGGCUUUGGCGGUGGGGGAGUCAUGCCGUCGGAGAGGGUCAUUGAAGGUGGCCGUCGUAGAAGGCGGGGGAGGGGUGGAGGCGGUGGGUGGGGCUGGGACGCCGGAGGGGAGAGGGGAGCGAGGGGGGACGGGAGCCAUUUCGUAUGUGUCAUCCAUCUGCACUAGUAGUCCGGGAACACCUUAAGAAUCCUCUAUGUACAUUUGCAUCAUUAGGUACUAUUAAUUUGAAAGAACAAACAAACCUUAAGGAUGUAAUGCCGAGAGGAGAGACUACAAACGAAAACAAAUAUCUACAACAUCAACCGUGCCGCCGUGACAAAAUAUGCCUGUCCUGCAAGAAUAUAGUGGCAAAAAUAAAACUUCAAGUAGAUAUGUCCGAAAAGGAAAAAGAAACAGUUCCGCUUCCAGUGGU
rnacentral:lncRNA from 1 species